GCACCCUGCUGAGUUGGGCGGCCGGAUGGAACUGACGAUUGAUGGGACUGGCCCUGUUGACAUGCAUACCUACCUUUCUGAGCAACUACCCGACACUCCCAAAUCCGAUGUCCUGGCUUGCCAUACCCAAAACACACAUCACUACCCAAUCUACACUCACCUUGAUGGAAUCUGCCACACUUCAGACAUAAAGGAUUGGUACGAGCAUUGCUAACAUUGACCUGGGACUUAGAGCCUGGUUCCCUAUCCCUAUUGUCGUUUCUGAAUUUGGGUACUGG
rnacentral:lncRNA from 1 species